rnacentral:rRNA from 1 species
CAAACACGAACGCGCCAACUAUAAUUAAAUGAGUUACCGGAGGAAAAGAAAAUAACAAUGAUUCCGAAAGUAGUGGCGAGCGAAAUCGGAGAAGCCCAAACCUUAGGUAGUAAUACUUAAGGGGUAAGGACCGCGAGAUAGCAUCGGGAAAGGUAGUUGAAUUAUCUGGAAAGGUAAGACAAAGAGGGUGAAAUCCCCGUAAACGAAAUCUUAAACGAGCGAGCGUAAUCCGGAGUACGUCGGGACACGAGAAAUCCUGACGGAAGAAAUGGGGACCAUCCCAAAAGGCUAAAUACGACCAUGUGACCGAUAGCGAAUAGUACCGUGAGGGAAAGGUGAAAAGAACCCCGGGAGGGGAGUGAAAUAGAACCUGAAACCGUUAAGCUUACAAGCAGACAGAGCGCGUUAAGGCGUGAUGUCGUACUUUUUGUAGAACGGGCCGGCGAGUUACGAUGUGAUGCGAGGUUAAGUGUUAAAGACACGGAGCCGAAGCGAAAGCGAAUCUGAAGAGGGUGCAAAGUAUCAUGUCGUAGACCCGAAACCGAAUGACCUAACCAUGAGCAGGUUGAAGCAAUGGUAAAACGUUGUGGAGGACCGAACACACGCCUGUUGAAAUAGUCGGUGAUGACUUGUGGUUAGCGGAGAAAUUCCAAACGAAUUCGGAUAUAGCUGGUUCUCCUCGAAAUAGCUUUAGGGCUAGCCUCGUAUAUAAUCCUUGUGGGUAGAGCACUAAAUGGCCUAGGGGGCUUCACAGCCUACCGAAGCUUAUUAAACUCCGAAUCGCAAGGAAUUGAGUACGGGAGUCAGACAGCGACAGCUAAGUGCCGUUGUCAAAAGGGAAACAGCCCAGAUCUACAGCUAAGGUCCCCAAGUACAGGUUAAGUGGAAAAGGAUGUGACAAUGCAUAGACAACCAGGAUGUUGGCUCAGAAGCAGCCACACAUUAAAAGAGUGCGUAAUAGCUCACUGGUCGAGUGAUGUUGCGCCGAAAAUUAACGGGGCUCAAACCUGCCACCGAAGCUUAGGAAUACGCGAUGCGUAUUGGUAGAGGAGCAAUGUAUAUGCGCAGAAGCCGUACCGGAAGGAGCGGUGGAGUAUAUAGAAGAGAGAAUGCCGGCAUAAGUAGCGAGAGCGGAGCGAGAAACUCCGCCGUCGAAAGUCUGAGGUUUUCCGGGGAAGGUUCGUCCGCCCGGAGUAAGUCGGGACCUAAGCGGAGGCCGAAAGGCGUACGUGAUGGACAACAGGUUGAUAUUCCUGUACUACCGAGAAAGAUAAUGAUGCAGUGACACGGAAAGAUAGAAGAAGCGCGCAGAUGGAAAAGCGCGUCCAAGCAAUGAGGGCGGCUGGUAGUAAAGAACGCCAGUCAAAAAGCCUGAGUUGUGACGGGGAGUGGACCAAGGAAACGAAGUCUUCGAAUCUACGCCGGCGAGAAAAGCUGCUAAAUAUUUCGAGGUACCCGUACCGCAAACCGACACAGGUAGACGAGAAGAAAAUUCUAAGACGAACGGGAGAACCCUUGUUAAGGAACUCGGCAAAAUGACCCCGUAACUUCGGGAGAAGGGGAGCCAUGGAGACAUGGCCGCAGUAAAGAGGCCCAAGCGACUGUUUAUCAAAAACACAGGUUUCUGCUAAGGCGAAAGCCAAGGUAUAGGAGCUGACUCCUGCCCAGUGCCGGAAGGUCAAGGGGAUUCGUUAGCGCAAGCAAAGCGAUGAACUUAAGCCCCGGUGAACGGCGGCCGUAACUAUAACGGUCCUAAGGUAGCGAAAUUCCUUGUCGGGUAAGUUCCGACCCGC